AUGAAGAACACACAGCUAAGAUUAUACACAGAAACUACACAGGAGAGGUUGACUGAUGAGCUAAUUCAGAUGGACGGACAGGCGGACAGACGGACAGGCAAACCUGAUGGAGGAGGACAUCAGUAGAACAGACAGUAAACACAGAUUCAGGACAGGACCAGGUCAGGUUCAGGGCAGGACCAGGUCAGAAUCAGGACAGGACCAGGCCAGAUUCAGGACCAGGUCAGAUUCAGGACAGCACCAGGUCCGAUUCAGGACAGCACCAGGUUAGAUUAGGACAGGACCAGGUCAGAUUCAGGACAGGACCAGGUCAGAUUCAGGGCAUGGUCAGAUUCAGGACAGCACCAAGUCAGAUUUAGGACAGCACCAGGUCAGAUUCAGGACAGGACCAGGUCAGAUUCAGGACAGGACCAGGUCAGAUUCAGGACAGGACCAGGUCAGAUUCAGGACAGCACCAGGUCAGAUUCAGGACAGGACCAGGUCAGAUUCAGGACAGCACCAGGUCAGAUUCAGGACAGCACCAGGUCAGAUUCAGGACAGGACCAGGUCAGAUUCAGGACAGCACCAGGUCAGAUUAGAACAGGACCAGGUCAGAUUCAGGACAGGACCAGGUCAGAUUCAGGACAGCACCAGGUUAGAUUAGAACAGGACCAGGUCAGAUUCAGGACAGCACCAGGUCCGAUUCAGGACAGCACCAGGUUAGAUUAGGACAGGACCAGGUCAGAUUCAGGACAGGACCAGGUCAGAUUCAGGGCAUGGUCAGAUUCAGGACAGCACCAAGUCAGAUUUAGGACAGCACCAGGUCAGAUUCAGGACAGGACCAGGUCAGAUUCAGGACAGGACCAGGUCAGAUUCAGGACAGGACCAGGUCAGAUUCAGGACAGCACCAGGUCAGAUUCAGGACAGCACCAGGUCAGAUUCAGGACAGGACCAGGUCAGAUUCAGGACAGCACCAGGUCAGAUUAGAACAGGACCAGGUCAGAUUCAGGACAGGACCAGGUCAGAUUCAGGACAGCACCAGGUUAGAUUAGAACAGGACCAGGUCAGAUUCAGGACAGCACCAGGUUAGAUUAGAACAGGACCAGGUCAGAUUCAGGACAGCACCAGGUCAGAUUCAGGACAGCACCAGGUCAGAUUCAGGACAGCACCAGGUCAGAUUCAGGACAGGACCAGGUCAGAU